CAAUAGCGUAUAUUUAAGUUGUUGCAGUUAAAAAGCUCGUAGUUGGAUUUCGGUUAAGAGCGACCGGUCCGCCGUUUGGUGUGCACUGGUUGGUUUUAACUUCCUGUAGAGGACGUGCUCUGGGUUUAACGACCUGGACUCGGAGUCUACGUGGUUACUUUGAAAAAAUUAGAGUGUUCAAAGCGGGCUUACGCUUGAAUAUUUCAGCAUGGAAUAACACUAUAGGACUCCUGUCCUAUUUCGUUGGUCUCGGGACGGGAGUAAUGAUUAAGAGGAACAGUUGGGGGCAUUCGUAUUUCAUUGUCAGAGGUGAAAUUCUUGGAUUUAUGAAAGACGAACUUCUGCGAAAGCAUUUGCCAAGGAUGUUNUCAUUNA
rnacentral:rRNA from 1 species